CUCCCACCCGGCCAAAGCCCGGCUCUUACCUCUGCGGCCGCCACCCUCCGGGGGGACUGCGCAACACCGCUCGCUGCCCGGCAAGCGAACCGCGGCGCGCGGGAGAUGCGCAGCAGCUGCGGACGCCGGCCCGGCGGCAGUCGCCGCCGCUUCCCGGGCGUGUGAGCUCAGCCCGCCCGCGCGGCCGCGCUUCCCACUCCCGGCGUCCUUCGCGGCGCCACCCAGCGGCCGCGUCCAGCACCGCACGCUCGAGUCCGGGAAAAUUCUGCCGCAGCCUUGCCGAAGGAUUUGGAAAUUCCCAGAAUUUGCCACUGUUUCCUCCUCCUGAAAUAUCUCCAGCAGACCCCAAGCCCACAUUUCUGCCUGAAGAAAUUCCACCUGUGCUUUCAGGCCAGUACAAAAGCCUCUUCAAGUGCCAUCUGUGACCUCUGUUUUCUGGGACUAGUUACUGAGCUCUCUGUGAGAGCCUCUGCUACCUGGCCAACCCUUUUAGACAUCCUGAGCAAACAGCUUGAAGUGGAGGUUUUAAAGAUGCAGCCAACACUCCAAAGCAAGAGAAAGCCUGUCUUAUCUUCCCAAAGAGAGAGCCUCUGCUCCAUUGCCAGGUAGGAAACCAGAAAACACUCUUGGCUGCCAUUCCCCCUC
rnacentral:lncRNA from 1 species